rnacentral:rRNA from 1 species
CAUACGCUCGGUGAUUCGUUUCGCUGAGUAAAGUCGUAAGACGCUUUGAGAUCGGCGGAUUAGGUAGUUGGUGGGGUAAUGGCCUACCAAGCCGAGAUUAGGGGGCGUGAGAGCGUGGCCCCCCACACUGGCACUGAGAUAGGGGACUCCUACGGGAGGCAGCAGUGAGGAAUAUUGCACAAUGGGCAAAUGAUGCAGCAACGCCGCGUGAGGGACGAAGGCCUUCGGGUCGUAACUUUUCUGAGGGACGAGAUCAGGACGGUACCUCGGGAAUAAGUCCGGACUACGUGCCAGCAGCCGCGGUAAAACGUAGGAGGCGAGCGUUUCCUUUACUGGGCGUAAAGCGCACGCAGGCGGCUUCGUUAGUCGGAGUGGCUCCUGGCUUAACUGGGAGA